UGUUUAUAAACACAGUGUUGUGAGGAGGGGCAAGACACCAGCAGCCAACCACGUAAGCUAAUUUUUUGACCGACAGCGCUUUCCAACAAUCAGAGGUUGAGUUGUGCGCAGCUAGUGUCGCGCAGCUGGGAGAAAACAAAAAUGUAGAACCCAUGUAGUGUAUAUAAACUUCACUUCCCCAUAAUGCCAUGCGUUUAGGCGGGGGCUACAUAAGCUCCCCAUUCAACACUCUUCUGUACCGCAAAGAUACGCAGACAGCCUACAUGUAUAAUAGGAUGCAGUAGUUAAAUAAAAUUCAGUUUUAAUGUUCAGCACUUUCAUGUCUGCCUUCAUCAAUGUGUAUGCGUGCCCUCACGAAAUGCUUUUUUUUUGCCAGGGGUUAUAUACUUGAACACAUUCACAAUAGUUUCACAAAAUCACUUACUGUGCAACACACUCUUCAGGUUUAGGGACUUGAAAGCGAUCUUUCCAGCUGCGCCAGUCCAAUUAAUUUGGAGCGCCAGGGACCUCCUGAAAGCCCGGCCCAGCAUCCUCUUCACUGCGUCUUUGGUGGUUUUCCCUCCCAAAAUAGCAAGAACAUCAAUCUGAUGAUGGCCAGGCGGAGGAGGAAGAAGAAGCAUCACUGGAAGGGAAUGAAGAUGAUGGCGUGGAUUAGAUUCCACCACAAAAGAGGUCGACCCCCCCUGACUGCACUCGGUGAACUCUUUGUGGAGGAAGACAGGGCCCUAACCAUCAGCGCCAGCGGUAAUGUGGACAGUGCCAGCACGCGGACUGAUGCAGAGAGGACAAGAAACGAGUUGGAGCUGUAUAGAAGCCUAUAUAAUGUGUUGACCUCAACAAAUACAGUAAUCUGGUGGUUGGAGAGAAAGGAGACUUUACCGAUUUUGUUUGAUCUUAGUGCUAGGUACUUGUGUCCCCAAGCAUCCUCCACUCCAGCUGAGCGCACUUUCUCAACUGCUGGGGACACAAUUAGUCUGGAAAGGGCCCGUCUCCUCCCAGAAAAGGCAGAUAUGAUUAUCGUCCUCCAUAAGAAUUCUAACUGAGAAUGGAUAGAUACAAGUUACUGCAACUUUAACAUUAGUAACCACGUAGAUGGAAAAUAUUAAAAAAUAUGUUAUGUUGUAUAUAUGAUCAUUUGAAAUAUAUGAAAAUGCCCUCACAAUAAAACUGCCAGUUUGCCCGUUGACCUCAUUGUCAUUGUAUCCUUUUAAUCUCAAAGUGCUAGAGUUAUUAACGAAUUAUGGUGCUCAAUGUAUAAUAAUUGUAGAAAAGUAGUUGGCCGAUAAUCCUAUAAGGUUUUCAUAAUAUAAAGUAUCGGAAAAAGUAUCGUGAAGGUAUCGUAUCGAAUUAAAGGUAUCGGUUUCGGUAUCGGUAUCGAAAAUUUUCAAACGAUACCCAACCCUAUAUGUGAUGCAGCCCACAUGAUAAAUAAUGUGGAAGCGAAGUGGCCUGGGUCUGUGCAUGACUCACGAAUGUUUCGUGAGUCUACACUGAGUGCCAGAUUUGCCCGUGGUGAGUUUAUAUAUAUAGUUUAUCUAUCCAGUAUAUAGUUAUAUCCUAUGAUCAAUAUUUGUUUCCUCCUAUUGCAACUGAAACAAUAAAGUGUAUCUUGUAUUAUCAUAGGAGAGUUUGAUUGUUAUCUACUCGGAGACAGAGGGUACCCCUGCCAGCGCUAUCUGCUGACCCCUUACCCUGACCCUGACCCUGGCCCACAGCGACACUACAACUUGGCUCACUGCAGGACAUGAGCCAGAGUGGAGAUGACCAUCGGCAUACUCAAGGCCCGGUUCCAGUGCCUUCGUAGGCUCAGGGUCACCCCGGAAAGGGCUUGUGACAUU